GGAGAAUUACUCAAGAGGCUGAAGAGGACGGUUUGCUAAAUCGUUAGAUCGCGUAAGCGAUGCAAGGGUUCGAAUCCCUUAUUCUCCG
rnacentral:tRNA from 7 species